CGCCUUGCCAGCCGCUCAGAACUUAAGGAAUUGACGGGGCCGCACAAGCGGAGGAGCAUGUGGUUUAAUUCGAUGAUACGCGAGGAACCUUACCUGGGCUCGAACGUAAGAUGACUGUAGGUGAAAGCUUACAUCUCUUCGGAGCAUUUACGAGGUGCUGCAUGGUUGUCGUCAGCUCGUGCCGUGAGGUGUCGGGUUAAGUCCCAUAACGAGCGCAACCCCUACCUUUAGUUGCCAUCAGGUAAUGCUGGGGACUCUAAAGGAACUGCCUACGCAAGUAGUGAGGAAGGCGGGGAUGACGUCAAAUCAGCACGGCCCUUACGUCCAGGGCUACACACGUGCUACAAUGGCCGAUACAGAGGGCAGCUACCUGGUGACAGGAUGCAAAUCUCCAAAGUCGGUCUCAGUUCGGAUCGGAGUCUGCAACCCGACUCCGUGAAGUUGGAUUCGCUAGUAAUCGCGCAUCAGCCAUGGCGCGGUGAAUACGUUCCCGGGCCUU
rnacentral:rRNA from 1 species